CCAAUCUGUUGUUCUCCUGCUCCAGGAUGUGCACCUUCUCCAGGUAGGAGCCCAGACGGUCGUUCAGGUUCUGCAUGGUGGCCUUCUCGUUGGCCCCGACGUGGAGGUCCAGGCCAUCAGACAGGUUGAAGCCUCCUCCUCCGCCUCCACCUCCAGCCGCUCCCAAGCCAAAAGUAAAACCUCCACCACCACCUCCACCUCCACCUCCUCCCAUGCCAUAACUGCUACCUAAUCUACUGCCAUAACCGGCGGAGGAAACAGAUAUUUUUGCUCCUGAGCCACCUGCACCACCAUACACGCUGGAACUAUAAGACUUUCGCACCGAGCCUCCAGAGCCACCAAAGCUACCACCUUGGUUGGCACCUCCAAAGGAG